UGACUUAGCGGCGGACGGGUGAGUAACGCGUGGGCAACCUGCCUUACACAGGGGGAUAACAAUUAGAAAUGAUUGCUAAUACCGCAUAAGACCCCAGUACCGCAUGGUACAGGGGUAAAAACUGAGGUGGUGUAAGAUGGGCCCGCGUCUGAUUAGGUAGUUGGUGGGGUAGAAGCCUACCAAGCCGACGAUCAGUAGCCGACCUGAGAGGGCGACCGGCCACAUUGGGACUGAGACACGGCCCAAACUCCUACGGAAGGCAGCAG
rnacentral:rRNA from 1 species